AAACCGAGUCUUAAUUGGGCGUUAAGUUGCAGGGUAUAGACCCGAAACCCGGUGAUCUAGCCAUGGGCAGGUUGAAGGUUGGGUAACACUAACUGGAGGACCGAACCGACUAAUGUUGAAAAAUUAG
rnacentral:rRNA from 1 species